UGUGCGGAGGACACUCACUCUCUCUCUCUCGCUCUCUCUCUCUCUCUCCAUCAUUUAUGAUCGCUCUUUCUCUCCGCUGCUCAUUUGCUUCGCGUCUUCGAUCACUCCUUCCGUUCUCAACCACAAAUCUGCGGCGUUCAGUCCAGUCAAGCAGCAUGAAUUGAACGCUUCUAAAUGACCAUCCGAGCGCGUGAAGCGUUUCCAUUCACCACAACUGUUCCACUGUCAUCCAGCGCGCUCCGCUUGGGCUUCUUCCCGGAGAAGAAAGAGAGAGACUCUUGAUUUUUUUUACGCUGCUUUGGGUGUAAAUGUUGAAGCUUGAAUGGCUGGAGCUCAACCUGGCGUUCAUGCGCUUCAACUCAAGCCGGUGCGCGUGUCCGAGAGUCUGAAGCGAGGCAGUAGAUUUAUGAAAUGGGAUGAGGAUUCAUCCACGGUGACUCCAGUGACGUUGCGCGUCGAUCCCCAGGGAUACUUCCUGUACUGGACAGAUCAGAAUAAGGAAACGGAUCUAUUGGACAUCACCUACAUCAAAGAUGCAAGAACGGGGAAAUGCACCAAAACACCAAAGGAGGCGAAGCUGCGGGAGCUGCUGGACGUGGGGAAUCUGGUGGGCCGGAUAGAGAACCGGAUGCUGACGGUGGUGACGGGACCAGACAUGGUCAACAUCCAGUACCUGAACUUCAUGGCCUUCCAAGAAGACGUCGCCAAGGAGUGGGCAGAUGAGCUGUUCAGUCUGGCGUCUAACCUGCUCGCUCAGAACAUGGGCCGAGAGUCCUGUCUGGAGAAAGCCUUCACGAGACUCAAGCUGCAGACGAAUCAAGAGGGUCGAAUCCCAGUGAAAAAUAUAUGCCGCAUGUUCUCGACUGACCGGAAGCGUGUGGAGACGGCGCUGGAGAGCUGCAAUCUCCCGUCCGGCCGGAACGACUCCAUCCCUUUGGAGGAUUUGACGUCUGACGUUUACAAAUCGUUCAUCAACAACGUCUGCCCACGAUCUGAGAUCAACCAAAUAUUUGCUGAUCUCGGCGCGAAGAGCAGAAACUAUCUGACGGUGGAUCAGAUGACAGAAUUCAUCAACAACAAGCAGCGGGACCCGCGUCUGAAUGAGAUCCUGUACCCGCCGCUCAAACCCGACCAAACCCAGCUGCUCAUGGAGAAGUUCGAGCCCAACGCAGCGGUGAUUCAGAAAGGGCAGAUCUCAGUGGAGGGCUUCGCCAGGUAUCUGAUCAGUGAGGAGAACAGCGUCAUUCCUCCAGAAAAACUGGACCAGAGUGAAGACAUGACUUUCCCUCUCUCUCAGUACUUCAUCAACUCCUCCCACAACACCUACCUCACAGCGGGGCAGCUUGCGGGGAACUCCUCAGUUGAGAUGUACCGGCAGACGCUGCUGUCUGGCUGUCGAUGUGUGGAGCUGGACUGCUGGAAGGGCCGGACGGCGGAGGAGGAACCUGUCAUCACACACGGCUUCACCAUGACCUCAGAAAUCUCCUUCAAGGAAGUGAUCGAAGCCAUAGCAGAGUGCGCUUUUAAGACGUCUCCGUUCCCCGUCAUCCUGUCCUUUGAGAAUCAUGUGGACUCCCCCAAACAGCAAGCCAAAAUGGCAGAAUAUUGCCGAUCGAUAUUCGGGGAUGCUCUUUUGACUGAGACUCUGGAGAAAUAUCCUCUCGAGUCCGGCGUUCCUCUGCCAAGUCCUCAAGAGCUCAUGGGAAAGAUCCUCGUCAAGAACAAGAAAUCUCACCCCAAACCCUCAGACGGCAGCACUAAGAAGAAGCUGUCCGAGCAGGCGUCCAACACCAACAGCGACUCGUCCAGCGUCUUUGAGCCGUCGUCUCCCAGCGCUGGACCCGCAGCGCCUGCAGAGGUGGAGGCUGAGGAUGAUGAGGAUGAAGAUGAUGACGAUGAUGACUGUAAAAAGUCCAUGGACGAGGGUACAGCAGGAUCUGAAGCCUUUGCCACUGAAGAAAUGUCCACGCUGGUCAACUACAUCCAGCCCACCAAGUUCCACUCGUUUGAGAUUUCCAAGAAGAGCAAACGCAGUUAUCAGAUGUCGUCGUUUGUGGAGACCAAAGCGCUGGAGCAUCUCACCAAGACACCGGUGGAGUUCGUCGAAUACAACAAGUUCCAGCUGAGCAGGAUUUAUCCUAAAGGAACACGCGUGGAUUCCUCCAACUACAUGCCGCAGGUCUUCUGGAACGCCGGCUGUCAGCUCGUCGCACUCAACUUUCAGACCAUCGAUCUGUCCAUGCAGCUGAACCUCGGCAUGUACGAGUACAAUGGCAAGAGCGGCUACAGACUCAAACCAGAGUUCAUGAGACGACCGGACAAGCACUUCGACCCCUUCACAGAAAGCACUGUGGACGGCAUCGUAGCCAACACCUUAUCAGUGAAGAUCAUAUCAGGACAGUUUCUGACUGACAAGAAGGUGGGCGUUUAUGUGGAGCUUGACAUGUUUGGACUCCCCGUCGACACGAGACGAAAAGCUUUCAAGACAAAGACGUCCCAGAGCAACGCCAUCAACCCUGUGUGGGACGAGGAGCCCAUCGUCUUUAAAAAAGUGGUUUUGCCCACGCUGGCGUCCCUCAGGAUAGCCGUGUAUGAAGAGGGCGGCAAGUUCAUCGGCCAUCGUAUCAUCCCCGUCUCAGCCAUUCGUCCGGGUUAUCGUUACAUCGGUUUGAGAAAUGAAAAGAAUCAAGCGCUGACACUUCCUGCUAUAUUUGUGAAUAUCGAGGUGAAGGACUACGUUCCCGAUACAUUCGCUGAUGUCAUCGAAGCGCUGUCCAACCCCAUCAGAUACGUCAACCUGAUGGAGCAGAGAUCCAAACAGCUGGCGGCGCUCACUCUAGAGGAGGGAGAAGAGGAGAAAGACACCAAAGAGGCGGAUCCUGGUGUUGAAAACCCUUCGGAGGUUAAAAGCGAACCCAAACCCGCCCCGGUUGAGAACGGUCUGACUCACACGCCCAGCGCCGCUCCGAAGCCCGCGUCCCAGAUCAGCACACAGCCGCAGUCCACAGGCUCAACCAAACCAGCGGCGAAGACUGAAGAUCUGAUUCAGAGCGUCCUCACCGAAAUGGAGGCGCAAACCGUGGAGGAGCUCAAACAGCAGAAGGGCUUCGUCCGAGAGCAGAGACGACACUAUAAAGAAAUGAAGGACCUGGUGAAGAAACACCACAAGAAGACCACCGAGAUGAUCAAGGAGCACACGGCCAAAUACAACGAGUUCCAGCACGACUACCUGCGCAAACGAGCCGUCCUGCUGAAGUCUGCCAAACGAGACGGUAAGAAGAGGUGUUUGUCGUCCAGUCCUGAACACGGACCCUCGUUCUUCGAGCAGGAACUGGCCAAUCUGGAUCAGGACAGUGGACAGAAACUGUCCGAACUCAAAGAACAGCAGCAGCAGCAGCUCCUCAAUCUGCGUCAGGAGCAGUAUUACAGCGAGAAAUAUCUGAAGAAAGAGCACAUCAAACAGGUGAUCGAGAAGCUGACGGCCAUCGCUGAGGAUAGUCAGAGCAACCAAAUGAAGAAAAUCAAGGAGCUGUGCGAGAAAGAAAAGAAAGAGCUGAAAAAGAAAAUGGACAAGAAGAGACAAGAGAAGAUCAAUGAAGCCAAAUCAAAGGAGAAACACCUGACAGAAGAGGAGAAGCUGGAGAUCAACAGGUCGUACGUGAACGAGGUGGUGCAGCACAUCAAGAGGCUGGAAGACGCUCAGAUUAAAAGACACGAGAAGCUGGUAGAAACCCAUAAGAGCAUCCUGCAACAGAUAUUAGACGAGAAACCCAAGGAGCAGAACUCAUCUAGUGAAAGCGAGUGAUGAUGCUUUCUUGGAAGUCUGACCGAUGAGAUUUGGAGUUUGUUGCAUCCUGACACUGUAGAUCAAUACAUAUUUCACAACCGUCAUCAUCGAUUUUCUGCAGCUGUCAUUCACCAGCAUGCUUUGGGAUUUUAACCCUGUAAAGCCUGGCAUAGGAAAUAAUAGUCCGAAAAAUGCAGAUCCUGCAAUAUGUUGAGUAUCAUAUUUAAAAAAUAAGGCUUUUAUGGUUCAUAUAGUCUGAUAUAAUGAGAAUAUGGAGGAAAAAACAGCUCAAUUUUAUUCAGAGACUCAAACUGAGCAAAAAUAUGCAAAUUGGUGCGAAUGCUUAUAUUUAUAUGAUGAAAUUCUGAUGGUUGUAAUGCAAAUCAAUGAGAUCUUUAUAACAGUAUAUCAGAUACAUAACAAUAUAUAAAUAAGAGUGGUCACUCUAUAUCUGCAAUAAUAUGUCUUAGUAAGAUGAGAUUGAGAUAUAUGAGAUAUAAUGCAAUGCAAUCCAAUGAUGAUUGAGAGAUGAAGAAAUAAACGCUCCUCAGAAGAUGUGAGAUGAAGAUCAUUCCUCCUCCGAGGAACAGUGAAAGUAAAGCUUCUGGAAACAAACGUUCCUCAAAAGAUCCUGAUGAUCAGAUUUGAGACGCACUGAUUUUUCUUUCGUUAUCAACAUUUUUUUAUUUUUCAUACAUAACAUCCAAAAUAAAAAUAAAUAAAUAAAAAACACAACAGACACAUACUCGGUAUCUCAAAGUCCAGUCAAAGGGAGGGAGAGAGGGAAGGACAAGAAAAACACAAAAGUCACUCCUUUAUACAGUCACGUAUAUCUAAGAGAAAGCACUGCCAAGCAUCAAUGGUAGAAGGCUUGGCCCCAUUGAUUCGUGCUGUUGUACAUUUACAAGUCACUAUUUGCAGGAGGCUACGGAUCCAAUAUGUUUUUCCACACAUGUGCGGUGUAAACCAGUUUUGUAUUAUUGUCUUCUUCGCAGCCGUAAAACCAGCAAACAACAUUCUCUUUUGCAUUGAACUUAUACAGAGACCAGAAUCAUCAUUAAGAAGACACAAACUUGGAUUAACAGACCAAUCAAUUUGCACUCCAGAACGACCUGGAUCAGGAAUACCAGGACAAAUUCCGGCGGCUUCCGCUGGAGAUCCAGGAGUUUGUGCAGGAAAGCACCAAGAGAAAGACUGAUGAUGGAGAGCAGGAGGUUCUUCC